GACGAACGCUGGCGGCGUGCUUAACACAUGCAAGUCGAACGGAAAGGCCCUGCUUUUGUGGGGUGCUCGAGUGGCGAACGGGUGAGUAACACGUGAGUAACCUGCCCUUGACUUUGGGAUAACUUCAGGAAACUGGGGCUAAUACCGGAUAGGAGCUCCUGCUGCAUGGUGGGGGUUGGAAAGUUUCGGCGGUUGGGGAUGGACUCGCGGCUUAUCAGCUUGUUGGUGGGGUAGUGGCUUACCAAGGCUUUGACGGGUAGCCGGCCUGAGAGGGUGACCGGCCACAUUGGGACUGAGAUACGGCGCAGACUCCUACGGGAGGCAGCAGUGGGGAAUAUGGCACAAUGGGCGGAAGCCUGAUGCAGCAACGCCGCGUGCGGGAUGACGGCCUUCGGGUUGUAAACCGCUGUCGCCUGUGACGAAGCGUGAGUGACGGUAAUGGGUAAAGAAGCACCGGCUAACUACGUG
rnacentral:rRNA from 1 species